UACAGAGGGGGCAAGCGUUGUUCGGAAUUACUGGGCGUAAAGGGCGCGUAGGCGGCCUUCUAAGUCGAACGUGAAAUCCCCGGGCUCAACCCGGGAACUGCGUCCGAUACUGGAAGGCUUGAAUCCGGGAGAGGGAUGCGGAAUUCCAGGUGUAGCGGUGAAAUGCGUAGAUAUCUGGAGGAACACCGGUGGCGAAGGCGACAUCCUGGACCGGUAUUGACGCUGAGGCGCGAAAGCCAGAGGAGCAAACGGG
rnacentral:rRNA from 1 species